rnacentral:ncRNA from 2 species
AAGGCGCCGCGAGCGACAGGUGCCCCGGAGACGGGGUGAAAAGGGAAUGGGGUGUAAAACCCCGGCUGCCCCUGCAACUGUAAGCGGCGAGCCAUCCGACCACAUGCCAUUGGGAUCACCCCCGAGAAGGCGGCCGGACCGGCAUCGACCCGCGAGCCAGGAGACCUGCCCGUCGCCGUCGUCCUUC